GUGAGUCACAGGGGCGCCUUGGGCAGGGAUGGGCUGGUCCAGGGGCUCGGCUGUGGGGCCUCGGCAUCACCCCCAACUCUAGACGGAUCCUGCCCCCUGGCUGUUUUUGCAUGAAAAAUAAAGCCUUCUCUGAUUCCUUCACCCAGACAGAGCCACUGCUAACGUUUUGGUGUAUUUCCUUCUGGUCUUCUCACCACACGCAGCCGUGCACAGACUGUUUUAUAAAGAUGAAAUCAGACACACAGACUGGUUAGAAGCAUGAGGAACAUUUCCCCAGGAGACCUAAAAUCUCUAACAGCUUUACUGAGAUAUAAUCAAUAUACCAGAAAUUCUCCCGUGUGAAAGUGUGCAAUUCAAUGGUUUCAGCGAAUUUACAGAGUUGUGCGCUCAUUACCGUAAUCUACUUCCAGAACAUUUUCGUUGCCCCAAAAGAACCCUGUACCCAUUAGCAGUCACUCCCCACCUCCCUCCCUCCCCCAGCCCUACGCAACCACCCAUCUUCUGUUUGUCUCUGUAGAUUUGUCUAUUCCGGACAUUCCGUACAAACGGAGUCACCCAAAGGUCCUUCGGAUCCUUGGUAUUUUUUGAAACUCCAUAUUAAACGGGCGCGCAGUGUUCCGAUCUGCGGAUGCACCGUGUUUCUUUGUUGGGUAUUUCGCUUGUCUCGAGCAUUACUGGGCUUUGGGAGGACCACCCAGCCGUGCGCAGCCACUGGAAGAUCUCCUGGUGGGAUUAUAAAAGAUGAGGCGGAAUGCGCAGCGCCCUCCCCUGUCUUGGUACCCAGCACAGGGGCUCAGUGGAAGAGUGUGAUGUCACUCGCUUUUCUCCAGAGGACAGGGAUCCCCUCCUUGGCUCAUGCUGGUACCCCUAGUGCUGUCAGUAUUGGCCCAUAGCGGGGGUCAACGAAUGUUGAAUGACAACACACAGACCUGGGCUGUCGCCUCUCCAGCAGGAGGUGCCCUGCCUACAGGAAGCCCACGCUCGGGAUGGGUCUACCGCUCCUCUUCCAGAACCCGACAGAAUGCUCCCAGGACGGCCUUUCUGACAGGGACUCUUCAUUUGCUGACGUGGGAGAUGAUUACUGGACGGAGACACCCGGAUCAGGUGGAAAAGGUGAGCCAUGUAGCCUGGAAGGAGAAUUUACCGUAUGAUCAAACCCAAGCCAAGACAAAGCUGGGCUGAGCUGCCCGGCAACAGGAGUGGGGUUUUCACGGGUCUUGUCACCUGAUUCUAAAAGGCACUUUCCCACAUAUUCCCAGCCAUGGUGGACCACUGUGGAUGUCCCCAAAAGGCUGGUUCCCAGGGGACUCUGUACCAGCGGGUCUGUGGGAAGUGCAGCUGAGACCUUUGGGGUUCUGUGUCAUCUUCCCUCCUGCAGAUCGGGGUCAGGGGGCAGCUCUGGCCCUGGGCGCAGAUCCCCCUACUCUCUGGCUGGACGCUGCUCAGGGUCCCUGGAAGGUCCCUUCCUUUGCAAAUGCUCCGUGUGUCACUGACCCGCUGUGGAAAGGCAUUUGCCUAGAUGCUGCUGUGGGGGGCGGGGGGAGGGGGGGGCGAGGACAGGUGAAGCCAGGAGCUGCCAGCCCAGAAAUAGAAUCAUAUGAAGUGUGGAGUUGCGUGUCUGGUCUCUCUCACUAGCAGUGACUCAUUCAUGCUGUUGCACACAUCAGCACGUCAUUCCUUUUUAUGGGUGAAUAAUACUCUGCUGUACGGACACACGUUAUCCAUCAUCUGCUGAUGGACACUUGGGUUGUUACCAGGACACACCCUGAGUGCUCUUACCUGCUUGCUCCUGCCAGACCUUGCCAUGGGGACAGAGUCCAUCCCCACCACCCACUUUGGAAAUCCUGUCUAUUCCAGCCCAGGUCAAAAGACUUGCUUCCCCAAAGCUUUCAUGGGUGCCCCUGUCCCUUGCUUGCCCCCACAGAGUGGGUUCAUGCCUCCCUUUGCAUCCUUGUACUGGGCAGUUGAUCUGUGUCAUUAGUGCUCCUGACACCUCCCCUCCACAUGCUGUGUGGCCAGGGUCCAGCCCAGCCAGCACACGUGGUGAGCGGAUGACCCAUGGGCCACCAUAGGGCUGAGUCAGGGUGACCCUACCGGGAAGGCUCUCCUUUUCUGCCAACCUAGGGCGCUGGGGAGAGAGACAAAUCUGGGUGGUGGUGGUGGGUCCAUUCUCUAGAUCAGAGGUGGCCUACUUUUCCCAGAAGGGGGCCAUUUAAAGUCAUAGAUAGUCACAGGCCUGCUUGCAAGACAGUGGCACUUUCAGCAUCCGAUAAAGACAGACCCACUCUGAAUUCCCAAAAAGUCUGAGAGGAAUUUGCAUUCUAUGACAGCAGUAUGGAGAGGGCUGGAAGCGGUGGAAGGAAUCUUUGAUGUACGAAUAACCGCGGGCUGGGGACUGGGCAGAUCUUCAUCCGUACUUGUGGGCACUGGACUCCCGGGGGCUUUCUGAACCUACCCACGCGAGGAUUUCGCUGUAGCCCCUAGAGGUGGAUGCCACAGGCUGGGAUGGCCAUUCAGGACAGGGGAGGGGACCUGCCAUGGCAGCCUCUGCCAGCUCCCCUGGGCCGGGUCUUCAGGGGGAGGAGGACUAAGGGCUCCAAUGUGCCCUCAGGAGACGCCCUGCUCUCAGCUCCAGUACGUGGCUGGCUGGGCCCCCUGUUUCCAGAGUUCACCAUCCAGGGGCUAGGCACACAGGGGCGCCGCCCCCCCACCCCCCCAGUUGCCCCUGCUCCUGGGGAAGUGAAACAGCCCGGGGCCCUGGUGGAACCUCCUGGCUGCACCUGGCAGCCGAUCCCAGGAACGCAGCCUGCAAAGCCCGCUGGGCUGACCUCUGCACACCCUCCCGCGGCGCCGUGCCAGGCCUUACUCAUGCUCUGGCAGUGCCAGGACCUCUCUCGGAGGCGGGGCCAACAGUGGCUUCCCGGCCCUGCGCCAGGCCCAGGCCUGCACCCUAAGCACAGCUCCUGGAUCCAGGAACCGCCUCUCUUUACGGCCGGGAGAGGGCGGCCGGAGAGGGCGAGAGCCCCGCCCAGGGUCACCCACCAAGCCAAGGAACCAGUGGGCAGCAUAAGGAGCAGCCAGAACUGGGCGCCAAGCAGCCUGGGUUCGAACCCCCGCGCUGCCCGGUCGCUAGCAGCAAGACCUCGGGAAAGUUACCCAACCACCGCGAGCCUCAGUUUUCCUGCACAAGCCACUCGCUGGGAGCAAGCAGCAGCUGGGGUCCCUGGACCACUGCCACAGCACGGGGGACCCCCAGGUGAGCAAGGUGAGACUCAGAGAAGCUAAGCAACUUGCCCAAGAUCACACAGUGAGAGAGGCCUGGAUCGGAAUCAAAGGACCCACGAUGCACAGAGGAUUCCAGAGAGCAGGUAAAACCAGCAUCGCCCCCAUCUGGCUCCAUCUGGCAUCGAGUGUGUGAUGGAUGGAAAGGGCCCUGCAGGUCCUGUGGCCCAGUUGAGCAGUAAGUUCAAGAGCUGGGAGGAACCGCCAGCUAAACCAUCAUUUGACAGAACCUGGGACGGAUCGGACAGCGGAGGGCGCUGGGCUUCGGAGAAAGGCAGAACAUGCCUGCAAGUAGGACCAACCUGCUGUCUGGAAGGAAACUGAGUCCUCACGUCAGAAAGCAGCCUUCCAGGUGAGCUGCUGGGAAAAGCCCGAACUCCCCCACUCGUUCCCGCCUCCUGCGCGUGUGGCCCUGGACAGAGGGAGGAGCCCCAGGAGGGACAAAGGGUGAAAUCCACAGCAAGAGGCUACACAGAGUUCUAGAAGGCAGAGUGGAUGGGACACCACGAGGUCAGCGACUCGAGUGGCUCUCCCAGCCCCGUGGCAGCACCUCAUGUGACCACGAGCGCCCCUGCCCAGCUCCCCCGA
rnacentral:lncRNA from 1 species